CAGGGCUCCGCACUGCCAGGCGGUCGCUGGUGCAGCUGCCCGGCCGGGGACAUGGAGCGGCCGCGGCGCCCUACGCCCCCCGGGGCCGGAGCGGCGAGGGCGGGGACCGCGUAGCGCGCAGCAUGGAGCAGGGCUGCACUUGUGCCACUAUCACAGGACCAUCCCACCUGUCCUAUGUGGGGUUCACUGCUCUGCCCCGAAUAGGACCUCAUUGAGGACAAGCACAUCACCUGCUUCACCAAACCGAACCCCACACCACGGAGGUUUGCAUGCA
rnacentral:lncRNA from 1 species